GACUCCGUCUAGCCCCGCUCCGCGAGAAGAGGCUGAACUGCCCCAUCUGCUUCUAAUUUCUUUCUUUCUUUCUUUCUUUCUUUUUUUCCCCUCUUUUCCUUUUCUUCUUUUAAAUAUACGUUUGGAAAUUUGCCGGGCGUGGUGGCGGGCGCCUGUAAUCCCAGCUACUCGGGAGGCUGAGGCAGGAGAAUCGCUUGAAUCCGGGAGACGGAGGUUGCAGUGAGCCGAGAACGCGCCACUACACUCCAGCCUGGACGACGAGAGUGAUACUCCGUCUCAGUCAAUCAAUCAAUCAAUCAAUCGUUUGAUUUUCGUUUUAUGCUUUUACUUCCAAAUUUAUAUUUAUUGCAAAAAAUGUGGAAUAUAACAAAGUGUAAAGGCCUUCUGUCUUGAGCUCGUAUUACUGCUGUUCACUGAUGUAUUGUAAAAGCGUAAAACCGGACGUGACCCAAAUGUCUAUCAAAGGAGACUGAUGAGAGAAAUAAACGGAUUUGUUCACACAACGGCUUCUACAGCAAAGAAACAGAAGGUAGCUCCAAGUGCUCUGAAAUGGAAAGAAAUGGGGUUUGGUCAUGUUACCCAGGCUGGUCUCAAGCUCCUGGGAUCAAGUGAUCCGUCCGCCUUUGCCUCCCAAAGUGCUGGGAUUACAGCGGGGAGCCACUGCGCCCAGCCCAGCCAGCCCGAUUCUGACCCAGAGGGUUUAGAAGUUGCUUAGACAGAUCUGCUCCUGUAAGUUCACAGAACUCCUCUGGCUACUGCUGUCCCUUUUUUUCCUGAGUCUUGUUUGCUGAAAUCUUCUUGAGAUUCUGUGAGACAAUAGCCCCUAUUUCUUCCAGUAAAUUACUCUUUUUCUUCCCCUUUAGACAGCCAGUGCUGGUUUCUGUUACAUGUAAACAAAAAGGAUUUUAUUUUUUAUUUUUUUAGGCUAGUCAAGUGAAGCAGUGGGAGGCGGAGGACAAAAAGAAUUUUGACUAAGGCAAUAAAUAUAUUAUACAAGUGAAGUAUUUCCCAAACUGUAUUCUGUGGAAUGCUGUGUUCUCAAAUGUUAACAAGUUCCAUACAAGAACCAUUUAUUUCUAAAUUCUAAAGUCACAUUCAUAUUAUGAAUUAUAUUAAACAUAUAUAGUUACUUUUAUUAUACCUAAUAAUCUGUCUUUAUAAAAGUGUUUACCCAAAAAUGCCAGCAGAUUCCAUGAGAAACUACCUGUACUACAAUGAUCGUCAAACUUUGGUGCAUACAUGACAGAAUCAACCGGAGGGCUUGUUAAAGGAUUGCUGAGUCAAACCCCUCGUUUCAGCAGGUUUGUGGUGGGGCCUGAGAAUUUACAUUUCUUUUUUUUUUUUUUUUAGACGGAGUCUUGCUCUGUUGCCCAGACUGGAGUGCAGUGGUGCGAUCUUGGCUCACUGCAACCUCCGCCUCCCGGUUCAAGCGAUUCUUCUGCCUCAGCCUCCCGAGUAGCUGGGACUACAGGUGCCCGCCACCAUGCUCAGCUAAUUUUUGGAUUUUUAGUAGAGACGGGGUUUUACCAUAUUGGCCAGGCUGGUCUCGAACUCCUGACCUUGUGACCCACCCACCUCGGCCUCCCAAAUUGCUGGGAUUACAGGCAAGAGCCACCGCGCCCUGCCGAGAAUUUGCAUUUCUAACAAGUUCCCAGGUGAUGCUGACACUGCUGGCUCAUGGAACCACUGCUGUAGUAUUUUCCAAAUUAUCCUGAUUCUAAGAACCACCUAUGACCUGUGCUGUUUUUUCAGUGGUUACUGGCUCAUGUCACAUAAAUUCUUUUAGGAUUCAAACAUGUUUGUGAUAUUACUCAGUAUUUACAUCUUGCUUUUACUGCAGCAUGAUAGAAAAAUUAACCACAGGUAUAUCAUAACAAAAAGACCAUGAGUUACCAUUUUCACAAAGUUCAGAUAUAUUUAAAUUAGCCUAUUUAAUCUUUUUUUGGUUGUUGUUGAGAUGGAGUCUCACUCUGUCUCUCAGGCUGGAGUACAGUGGCACAAUCUCAGCUCACUGCAACCUCUGCCUCCCAGGUUCAAGUAAUUCUCCUGCCUCAGCCUCCCGAGUAGCGGGGAUUACAGGUGCCCAACACCACACAUGGCUAAUUUUUGUAUUUUUAGUAGAGAUGGGGUUUUGCCAUGUUAGCCAGGCUGGUCUUGAACUCCUGACCUCAGAUGAUCCGCCUGCCUCGGCCUCUCAAAGUGCUGGGAUUACAGGCAUGAGCCAUCGCACCCAGCCUAUGGUACACCUUUACUGAGGAAACAAUUCAGGAACAUCACUCUUAGUAAGGCAAUUGUUGAUUAUAAGUCAAAAAAACACCAUCAUGUACAAAUUCAGGGGAUUUUGUAUACCUUGUUUUUUUGGUUACAAAUAUGCAAAAUUAAAGAUGUUUGCUAAUACUUGUUUCCAAUUUUUAAACUUUUCAAGUGUUGCACUGUUAAUAAUGUUAAAAUAAAAGGCAUUUGACUUAG
rnacentral:lncRNA from 10 species